rnacentral:ncRNA from 1 species
AACUGAACAACGGGGAGUCCGUAUUGCCGGGCUGAGAGGAGACCGCCAUGGUCUUUACCCGCGACCUGAUUUGGAUCAUGCCAACGUAGGGAGAUAAGGAUGCGCGCCG